UGAGGCAUCAUAGGUAGUGUUGACUGCCAGGCUGCCUAGUCGUUGGUAUACAGGUUAACUCACAGGCAUCCAGUUGGUUUUAGAUACCUGUAAGGCAUCUAGACGGACAUUAAGAGGGGCUGACUCCCAGGCUGCUUACUAACACUGGUUAGCUCUCAGGCAGCCAAUUAGCUUUGGAUGCCUGUGAGGCACUUGAUGUUGAGACUGGUUGACUGUAGACUGAUAUCCCUUAGUUAAAUUGUCCUCAUGCCUCCUCAUACAGAUAGGCCUAUUGAAUAAAUCUGCCAGAUUAUUUUUAACAUUGCAUAUGCCUAACAUUAUGUGAUAAUACUAAUCACACUCAUAUUGCGUUUCUCUUUCAGUUCAUGAAGAAAUGGUGCCCAGGAAGGUAGGACGGAAGCGGAAGGCCCUGCAGGUGUCAAAAGGUGGACCAUCUGCAAAGAUCGCAAUUUUCCACCAGUCACCACUGGUUGGUGGAGCCUCCGCCCCAGCCCCAACCCCAUCUAGCCCUGCUGCUCCAUCCACCCUUCCUGCCCCAUCCGGCCCUGCUGCUCCACCAAGCCCUACUGCCCCAUCCCAGCCGGCAUUUCAGAAUGUCCACAGCCUUUUGAGGACAUGCUCAGGGCAUCGGAGCAAAAGGUGAAGUGCACAGCUAGGCAUAGGUUUCUUCAAGACAGGUUUAUAUUUUUAGUGGUAGUGUGGUAGUAACAGUGCUGAGACCAUUUGUGAUGGGAUCUGGGAAAACCAGUCACAUGGUGAAAUUUGACCUUUUGGAAGCUGACUUCAAGCUUGUUUCAAAUAUGUUUUCAUUAUUUGUCUGUUUCAAAUGUUAUGAUUGCCCAGUCAGCUGAUCAGUUAGAUUUCAUGGAAUAGAAUUUUGACAAAAACAACUUUAAAGAGAGGGGUUCUAAAUAGACUGGCUGGUUGAAUAAAGCACAUUUUAACACAUUCAAUUAAUGAAAAACAAGUAGAUAUGUUUAGGGAUGAUAGACAUGUUAUAGAAUAAUAAUUGAAUCAAAACCCAAUUUCACCAAAAUACUGAGUUUCGACCUACUAGUAUUUUCACUCUAAUCUCAAAAAUGUCCCUUUUCACCAUGUGACUGGUUUCCCCAGAGCCCAUCACAGUUUUGGGUUAUAGGAACAUCUGUUGGGAUGGCAGUAAAGACAGAAGGGCUAUGUACAGACAUUACAUGUGUACAAUACUGUACUGUAUGUAAAGAAGAUGAAAUCCUAAUAUUAUUACGAAUAAUAUUGUUGAAACAUUGAAACCUUCUUUGAGUGUGACUCAGAAAUUAUUUUUACAAAGAUACCAGAUAACGGUGGAGGAGAUCAGGAGGAGGACUGCUCCACCUGAUUGCAAACUAUUCAAAGACAGACCACAACAAGCGGCAGAUACAAACUGUCCAUCAC